UACAGAGGGUGCGAGCGUUAAUCGGAAUUACUGGGCGUAAAGCGUGCGUAGACGGUUAUUUAAGUCGGGUGUGAAAGCCCCGGGCUCAACCUGGGAAUUGCAUUCGAGACUGAAUAGCUAGGGUGCGGAAGAGGGAAGCGGAAUUUCCGGUGUAGCGGUGAAAUGCGUUGAGAUCGGAAGGAACGCCCGUGGCGAAAGCGAAGGUCCUGGGACGUCUGCUGAACGCUGAGACGCGAAAAGCUAGGGGAGCGAA
rnacentral:rRNA from 1 species